rnacentral:rRNA from 1 species
AGAGCGAACGCUGGCGGCAGGCCUAAUACAUGCAAGUCGAACGGAUCCUUCGGGAUUAGUGGCGGACGGGUGAGUAACACGUGGGAACGUACCCUUUGGUUCGGAACAACUCAGGGAAACUUGAGCUAAUACCGAAUGUGCCCUUCGGGGAAAAGAUUUAUCGCCAUUGGAGCGGCCCGCGUCUGAUUAGCUAGUUGGUAGGGUAAAGGCCUACCAAGGCUACGAUCAGUAGCUGGUCUGAGAGGAUGAUCAGCCACACUGGGACUGAGACACGGCCCAGACUCCUACGGGAGGCAGCAGUAGGGAAUCUUGCGCAAUGGGCGAAAGCCUGACGCAGCCAUGCCGCGUGAAUGAUGAAGGUCUUAGGAUUGUAAAAUUCUUUCAGCGGGGACGAUAAUGACGGUACCCGCAGAAGAACGCCCGGCUAACUCGCGCCAGCAGCCGC